AAAUGAAUUGACGGGGGCCCGCACAAGCAGUGGAGUAUGUGGUUUAAUUCGAAGCAACGCGAAGAACCUUACCAGGUCUUGACAUCCUACUAACGAAGCAGAGAUGCAUAAGGUGCCCGCAAGGGAAAGUAGAGACAGGUGGUGCAUGGUUGUCGUCAGCUCGUGUCGUGAGAUGUUGGGUUAAGUCCCGCAACGAGCGCAACCCUUAUUGUUAGUUGCUACGCAAGAGCACUCUAACGAGACUGCCGUUGGUUAAAACGGAGGAAGGUGGGGAUGAUGUCAAAUCAUCAUGCCCUUUAUGACCUGGGCUACACACGUACUACAAUGGCGGAGAACAGAGGGCAGCGAAGGGGCGACCCGGAGCGAAUCCCCAAAAGCCGUCUCAGUUCGGAUCGCAGGCUGCAACUCGCCUGCGUGAAGUCGGAAUUGCUAGUAAUCGCGGAUCAGCAUGCCGCGGUGAAUACGUUCCCGGGCCUUGUACACACCGCCCGU
rnacentral:rRNA from 1 species